AGUGUUGAGGGUCGUGGACGGGGGCGCGCGCAGACCCCUCUCUUUGCACACGCCCCUUCCGCGCCUCAACGACGCGUCGGAGCGCCGGGAAGGGCUCGGCCCCGAUGGGCGUCGGCAAUUGGUGGAGGGGCGGGUCCAGGGGCGGGGCUUCCUGCGGAUUGGUGGCGCCCGGCGGGGGCGGGCCCGCGCAUGCACUUAAGGAACGGCGCCGCGGCCGAGGCGGGGCAGUGUCAAGAUGUCGGCGGCGGUCCCGGAGCUGAAGCAGAUCAGCCGGGUGGAGGCUAUGCGCCUUGGGCCGGGCUGGAGCCACUCGUGCCACGCCAUGCUGUACGCCGCCAACCCCGGGCAGCUCUUCGGCCGCAUCCCUAUGCGCUUCUCGGUGCUGAUGCAGAUGCGCUUCGACGGGCUUCUGGGUUUUCCCGGGGGCUUCGUGGACCGGCGCUUUUGGUCUCUGGAGGACGGUCUGAACCGGGUGCUGGGCCUGGGCCUGGGCUGCCUGCGCCUCACGGAGGCCGACUACCUGAGCUCCCACCUGACCGAGGGCCCGCACCGCGUCGUGGCGCACCUGUACGCACGGCAGCUGACGCUGGAGCAGCUGCACGCCGUGGAAAUCAGCGCGGUGCAUUCGCGCGAUCACGGCCUGGAGGUGGGGCCGCCGCCCGGGCCCCGCCCCCCGCCCCGGGGUUUGGCUCUGGCCCCGUGGAAGGCACCGAUGGGUGCUGGGGCUUGUGCGAGUCCCACUUUACACCCAAAAGGACCGAGUCGGUGGCUUUCCCAACUUCCUGAGCAACGCCUUUACCAGCACCGCCAAGUACCAGCUGCUCUUUGCGCUCAAGGUGCUCAACAUGAUGCCGGAGGAGAAGCUGGCUGAGGCUUUGGCGGCUGCCACUGAGAAGCAAAAGAAAGCCUUGGAGAAGCUCCUCCCAUCUUCCUCCUGAGCACAGGCUGCAGGCAGCUCCAGGACAUGGUAUGGAAGCACUGGCCAGGUGUGCAGAAUGACAACCGCAGAGACACAA